rnacentral:lncRNA from 1 species
AGCAACCCGUUUGGUUAUCUUUCUGUGCUGUGGAAGGUUUGUUCUUUCACUCUGCACUAUUUUGCAAUAAAUAUUGCUAUUGCUCACUUUGGGUUUAUAUUGCCUUUAUGAGCUGUAACACUCACCAUGAAGGUCUGCAGCUUUACUCUUGAAGCUUAGCGAGACCACUAACCCACCAGAAGGAAGAAACUCCGGACACGCCGCCUUUAAGAACUGUAAUACUCAGUGCGAGGGUUCACGGCUUCAUUCUUGAGAAAGACAACGAGGAGGGAGCAGCUAGAGGGGUGGAAAUGGGAUCACGUGACCUUGCGAGAAGCAGGGAGAGAGAACACUGCGUCUGCUCCCUUUUAGAACAGCUCAAUAUAGGGAAUCCCUAACAGAGGACUUCCAGGAUAUCCUAGGGACAGCAGAGCCUCAAGAUCCAGGGAGGAUCCUGGAUACCUGAGUCACCACUUGGAGGGGAAUCUCCUGGAAGAACUGAUUGAUCAGCAACAUCUACAUUCAACUUGAGGCUGUGGAAGCAUGGCACCAGCAUCUUCUUGGCUUCUGAUGAGGCCUCAGGAAGCUUUUACUCAUGGUGGAAGGCAAAGUUGGAGAAGGCAUGUCUCAUGGUGAGAGGGGAACGAGAGAGAGGGGAGGAGUUCCUUAAACAACCAGCUCUCCUGUGAACUAGUAGAAGAAGAACUCACUCAUUACCACAGAGAGGGCACCAAGCCGUUCAGGAGGCAUCUGCCCCCAGGACCCAAACACCUUCCAUUAGGCUCCACCUCCAACAUUGUGGAUCACAUUUCACCAUGAGAUUUGGAGAGGACAAACAUCCAAACCAUGUCAGCAAACCCCUCCUCUCCCUUCCCACCCUCCCCUGGCCUUACCCCACCUGAGUCAGGCACGGUGAGCAGGACCAAAGCCCAAGCAGUCACAACAAUGCGGGAAUGAACGUUAUUAUGCGCUGUGACGAUAUUUGAUGAAUUCAUAUGCGCCUAGGGGAGCAGACUAAGUAGGUGAAUAAAGUGAGACUAUUCUCUGUGACAAUCAAUAUUCCUUCAAUUGAACCAUCUCUGCAGAUCUGACAUUUUGAUUUUUCUUUUUUGGACACAUUAACUGGAUUUAUGCCUCCAUAUGGUGGAGACGGCAGGGAAGACGACUUGGAGACAGCGCAAGUAGAGAGAUAUGGUGGCGCCUCCACAGGCACCUGGGUAGGUGGGUGGGAGCAGGUGCAUUUGCAUAAGACCCUGGCUCAGUGGGAGCCACUGCCCCAGAGCACUGUGCUCACCUGGCCGCUGCAGCUCAGAGCUGGGAGGCCCCACCUGCCUGUGGUUCUUUCACAAGCAAGCUGAGAAAGGAGCCAGCUCCAGCUCUGGGAGUCCUUCUGCCCUGGAAGCCUGACCCAGGCUCCCGGAACACCCACUCAGCUCUGGACAGAACGGGGGCAUGGUGGGGGCAGAUGACUUCUUCAGGGCCCUCCCAGGGUCGACGUGAAGCCGACAGGCUCUGCUGACUGCUUGGUUUCAAUUUCUGGCUCUGCCAUUUGCUCAUAAAUAGUGCCAGGUGAGUGAUCUUGGACAAAGUCCAUAACAUCUUUUGUCCCAGUGUACUGAUCUGCAAAAUGGAGCUGAUGAUAACACUGACUUAAUAACUUGAGUACCUUUAGCUGCCAGGCAUUCGUUUCAGAGCUUUACUGAAUCAGUGUACCCAACUGUCACAAUAAUCCAGCAGGGUGGGUACUAGAAUAGUCCCAUUUCCAGGUGAGAAAACUGAGAGACGCAGCUAUGCAGUUUAGGCACAUGAGGGUUUGAAACUCAGUUCUGUCACUUAAUAGAUGUGUAAGUCAAGAUUCUUUAUGAAAAAAUAAAAGUACAACUCAAAGGAGCUUAAGCACCAGAAGGAUACAGAGAUACUGUCUUUGGUACCCGGAAAAGGAUGCUGAGGUUGCUUGAGGAAUCCAAGGGAAGAAAGGCUCUAGAACCUUCUAGAACCUCCUAAAGGUUCCAGAGCCAUAGGGGCUAGAACCCACCCCCAGCCCCAUCUGCAAUCUUGCUCUGUCAUUGCCCAUCAUUAUUUCUCUCUGCUUUUCUUUCCAGGUUGUUCCGUAAGACAGGAUGGCACAGAGCUUUAAGCAACAGCUCUGGCAUCUGACUUCCGUGUUUGCAUCUGGCUUUGAGUGUGACUUUGGACAAGUUCCUUAGCUGGCCAGAUACUCUUGUCCUCAUCCAUAAGAUGGAGCAACAACGAAGCCUUUCUCAUAGGUUAUUGUGAGGAUUGAAUGAAUUAGUAUAUGCCAAGCAUUUGAAGCAGUGCCUGACAUGUAGUAGAUGCUGAGUAACACUGGGGAUCUGCCUUUUCUUUUUCCUCUAUGUGACUGGCAGCCUUAGCCAGACCACAUCAGCUGAGAUGAUUUUCUCUGUAAGUUACCAGGAUCACCUAGAUCUGGCCAAGGACUUGCCCCUGUAAGGAAAUUUGGAAUAAGCAAAAAAGAUCACUAGGUGUCGCCGAUGGAAAACUAGGUUGUUUUGAGCAUACCUUUGCAUGUUAUCUGAUUUUAGCCUUUCAGGGUCUUUGAGCUAUUUUAUGGCUCUGUAGGUUGUACAUAACUGAUAGCAAUGCAAAAUAAUUCUUGUCUAUAGACAUGCAAAUAAAUCCUGUCCAGCGGUUCAAUUGACUACCCUCUUCCCUAAGGAAAAAGCCAGUUUCAGUCUAUUUGUAAAUUCAUUUCCACUUUCCUUACUCCCUAUAAAUUUCUGCUUUUCAGAUUUCUCCUUUGUUAACGUCUGCCUGGUUCCCUCAUUAAGUCAAAUAAAAUCUUUAACACGUUAAA